CCAUGGCGAAAUGGAGCUAACCGAGCCUCGCCCACUCUACAGUCUUCUCACUACCGAUACCCGACGAGCACGACUUCGGGAACAGCCCACAGCUGCUGUCUGGCUCCCGGGUUCUACAGAGACGCUUCCUGCCCUGUCGUUGCCAGGGUGCCUGCUGAUUUCAGUCUGCGACACGACUCCAGGAGGUACUCCUCAGCCUGGGUCUGGUGAAGGGCCUAAAUCCCAUCCUCUCAUUCCACGUCUGUUUCUCCUAAGACCCUACCGCAUGGGGCUUCCUCCUUGCUAGAGUGCUCCUCCAGAUUGAGAAGGGACCAUUUCUAGACAGGUUAACCACUGAAUUCCCAGAGCUAAGGAACGUCUGGCCCCCUCUAAGUGCCUUCCAACAUCCCAAGAUCCUUCUGAGCCUCCCAAGCAGUCUCUCUGACUCACACACAGGACACUACGCUCAGCUCACACACGAGGGAAAAGACAAACCUGCUCUUGUUGGAAGAACGGGCCAGACUGCCCCAAGUGGACAACUCCCCUGGCCGCAGGGACUGUGGGUGGGGAGCUGUGCUUUAGGGAGCACCCAGGGGUCCCUCUCACUUGAGGAAAUGUGAGUCGAGUUGAAUCAACUGCAGUUGGAUGGAAGGAGGAGGACUGUUCUCUUGGGUCCUGCCAGCAUCCUUCACAUGCAAAGCUGGCUGCUGGGGAAAAGGUGACACAGUGUCACCUGCAUCUGCGCACGUCACCGUAGCACGGCCGUCCACACAGCACAGCCUCACACCAAGUCUUGUCCAUUCAAAAUUUGAAGUGAAAUGAAGCUUCAAUGGGGAUAUCUCCAGCUUUCUGAUAGGCUGAAUGAUUUCUCAGUGAUCCAGAAUCCUCUCCUUAGUGGGGGCUGCAUUUGUACCA